rnacentral:sRNA from 1 species
CUUUCUCAGAACGAAAGAAAGCGGCGUGGAUUAAGCAUGCAAGUCGAACGAUACCUUUUUGCCUAGUGGCAAAAGGGAGAGUAACACAUGAGCAAUCUGCCUUUGAGUGGGGAACAACCUUGGGAAACCGAGGCUAAAACCGCAUAAGACCACGACCGGGCAUCCGGUUGUGAUCAAAUGGGGGGACCGCAAGGCCUCUAGCAUGAUGAUGAGCUCGCGUCCUAUCAGCUUGUUGGCGGGGUAAUGGCCCACUAAGGCUCGUGACGGGUAGCUGGACUGAGAGGUUGGUCAUCCUUUUUGGGACUGAGACACUGCCCAGACUCCUACGGGAGGCAGCAG